rnacentral:rRNA from 1 species
GAUGAACGCUGGCGGCGUGCUUAACACAUGCAAGUCGAACGGAAAGGCUCCUGCUUGCCGGGGUACUCGAGUGGCGAACGGGUGAGUAACACGUGGGUGAUCUGCCCUUCACUUCGUGAUAAGCCUGGGAAACUGGGGCUAAUACCGGAUAGGACGAUGUUUUGGAUGCCAUUGUGUAAAGUUUUUUCGGUGUGGGAUGAGCUCUCGGCCUAUCAGCUUGUUGGUGGGGUAUUGGCCUACCAACGCGUCGACGGGUAGCCGACCUGGGAGGGUGGACGGCCACAUUGGGACUGAGAUACGGCCCAGACUCCUACGGGAGGCAGCAGUGGGGAAUAUUGCACAAUGGGCGCAAGCGUGAUGCAGCGACGCCGCGUGCGGGAUGACGGCCUUCGAGUUGUAAACAACUUUCGAUAGGGACGAAGCGCAAGUGACGGUACCUGGAGAAGAAGCACCGGCUAACUACGUG